AGGACGAACGCUGGCGGCGUGCCUAAUACAUGCAAGUCGAGCGGACAGAAGGGAGCUUGCUCCCGGAUGUUAGCGGCGGACGGGUGAGUAACACGUGGGUAACCUGCCUGUAAGACUGGGAUAACUCCGGGAAACCGGAGCUAAUACCGGAUAGUUCCUUGAACCGCAUGGUUCAAGGAUGAAAGACGGUUUCGGCUGUCACUUACAGAUGGACCCGCGGCGCAUUAGCUAGUUGGUGAGGUAACGGCUCACCAAGGCGACGAUGCGUAGCCGACCUGAGAGGGUGAUCGGCCACACUGGGACUGAGACACGGCCCAGACUCCUACGGGAGGCAGCAGUAGGGAAUCUUCCGCAAUGGACGAAAGUCUGACGGAGCAACGCCGCGUGAGUGAUGAAGGUUUUCGGAUCGUAAAGCUCUGUUGUUAGGGAAGAACAAGUGCAAGAGUAACUGCUUGCACCUUGACGGUACCUAACCAGAAAGCCACGGCUAACUACGUGCCAGCAGCCGCGGUAAUACGUAGGUGGCAAGCGUUGUCCGGAAUUAUUGGGCGUAAAGGGCUCGCAGGCGGUUUCUUAAGUCUGAUGUGAAAGCCCCCGGCUCAACCGGGGAGGGUCAUUGGAAACUGGGAAACUUGAGUGCAGAAGAGGAGAGUGGAAUUCCACGUGUAGCGGUGAAAUGCGUAGAGAUGUGGAGGAACACCAGUGGCGAAGGCGACUCUCUGGUCUGUAACUGACGCUGAGGAGCGAAAGCGUGGGGAGCGAACAGGAUUAGAUACCCUGGUAGUCCACGCCGUAAACGAUGAGUG
rnacentral:rRNA from 1 species